rnacentral:rRNA from 1 species
AUGUUGAAGAAGGAUCCAACCGUUGGUGCUGUGAAGAUACUUAAAGACUUGCAAGAUGAGCAUCAUGUCACACUUAACUAUCACACAGUGUGGAAAGGCAAACAAAAGGCAGCAGACGGCUUAUAUGGGAGUUGGGAAGAAAGUUUCAGGAUGUUGUACAAGUACAAGGCUGAAAUAGAAUUGAGGUCUCCGGGGAGUAUUGUUGAGAUUGAUACGACCACACAUGAAGGUGAAGUGCAUUUCAGCAAGCUAUUUAUCGCUUUCAAGCCUUGCAUAGAUGGUUUUGUGAAUGGAUGUAGGCCAUAUAUUAGCAUAGAUUCAACUCAUUUAAAUGGAAAGUGGAAUGGUCAGCUAGCUGUAGUCACUGCAUUGGAUGGUCACAAUUGGAUGUUCCCGGUGGCGUAUGGCUUUAUUGAGUCUGAAAAUGGAGAUAAUUGGGCUUGGUUCAUGAAUCAAGUGAAGAAGGCAAUAGGGGACCCUCCGGUAUUGGCUGUUUGUACUGAUGCUUGCAAGGGUCUUGAAAAUGCUGUUAAGAAGGUUUUUCCUCAAGCUGAGCAGCGAGAGUGCUUUAGGCAUAUGUGGCAUAAUUUUCAGAAAUAUUUUCAUGGUGAUGUGUUUGGAAGGUUGUGGCCUGCUGCUAGGGCAUAUAGGCCGGAAGAAUAUCAACAUCACAUGUCAAAGGUAUUUGAUGCAUCUGAGAAAGUAUAUCCUUACCAUAGGGAUUACCAUAAUCUGUUAUGGAUGAGGUGUAUGUUCAACCCUGCCAUCAAGUGUGACUACAUAAAUAACAAUCUCGCCGAGUGCUUCAACGCUUGGGUGUGA